AUUGAACGCUGGCGGCAUGCCUAACACAUGCAAGUCGAACGGUAACAGGCCUUCGGGCGCUGACGAGUGGCGGACGGGUGAGUAAUACGUAGGAAUCUGCCUUUUAGUGGGGGAGUAACUCGGAGAAAUCCGGGCUAAUACCGCAUACGCACUACGGUGGAAAGCGAGGGGAUCGCAAGACCUUGCGCUAAUAGAUGAGCCUACGUCGGAUUAGCUUGUUGGUAGGGUAAUGGCCUACCAAGGCGACGAUCCGUAGCUGGUCUGAGAGGACGACCAGCCACACUGGGACUGAGACACGGCCCAGACUCCUACGGGAGGCAGCAGUGGGGAAUAUUGGACAAUGGGGGCAACCCUGAUCCAGCAAUGCCGCGUGUGUG
rnacentral:rRNA from 1 species